UAUCUCUUUCCAUCACACACCUGUGCACUUUCUGUAGGUCCUCGAGAGGGGAUCUAUGUCUUUUCGUAUCACAUCACACGUCGUAUGUCCAUAGAAUGUCGUCGAAAUCAUAUUACAACUUUCAGCAACGGAUCUCUUGGCUCUCGCAUCGAUGAAGAACGCAGCGAAUUGCGAUAAGUAAUGUGAAUUGCAGAUUUCCAGUGAAUCAUCGAAUCUUUGAACGCACCUUGCGCUCCUUGGUAUUCCGAGGAGCAUGCCUGUUUGAGUGUCAUUGAAUUCUCAACCAUGUCUUGAUUCGUUUCGAGCGCAUGGCUUGGAGUUGGGAGCUGCUGGCAGCCCAGGCUGUCGGCUUUCCUGAAAUGCAUUAGCAAAAGGUCGCUGGUCUUUAGACAUGCACGGCCUCGGACGUGAUAAUGAUCGUCCUCGCUGGAGUGUCUUUUGAUCGUGCACAGAACGGCCUAUUGCUUCUAGUCUGCACGACGUCGCUCGACACUAUUAGUUCGGUCGCAAGACUGGCGAACGUGUAGGGCAACCUCUCGCUUUGGAUACUUGACCUCAAAUCAGGUAGGACUACCCGCUGAACUUAAGCAUAUCAAUAAGCGGAGGAAAAGAAACUAACAAGGAUUCCCCUAGUAACUGCGAGUGAAGCGGGAAAAGCUCAAAUUUUGAAUCUGGCAGUCU
rnacentral:rRNA from 1 species